rnacentral:rRNA from 1 species
GAUGAACGCUGGCGGCGUGCUUAACACAUGCGAGUCGAACGGAAAGGCCCAAGCUUGCUUGGGUACUCGAGUGGCGAACGGGUGAGUAACACGUGGGUGAUCUGCCCUGCACUUCGGGAUAAGCCUGGGAAACUGGGUCUAAUACCGGAUAGGACGAUGGUUUGGAUGCCAUUGUGGAAAGUUUUUUCGGUGUGGGAUGAGCUCGCGGCCUAUCAGCUUGUUGGUGGGGUAAUGGCCUACCAAGGCGUCGACGGGUAGCCGGCCUGAGAGGGUGUACGGCCACAUUGGGACUGAGAUACGGCCCAGACUCCUACGGGAGGCAGCAGUGGGGAAUAUUGCACAAUGGGCGCAAGCCUGAUGCAGCGACGCCGCGUGGGGGAUGACGGCCUUCGGGUUGUAAACUCCCUUCGCUAGGGACGAAGCGUUUUUGUGACGGUACCUGGAGAAGAAGCACCGGCUAACUACGUG